rnacentral:rRNA from 1 species
AGAGUUUGAUCCUGGCUCAGGACGAACGCUGGCGGCGUGCCUAACACAUGCAAGUCGAACGAAGCAAUUUGAUUUGCUCGGAGUGAUGAGGGACUGUCUGACGGACGCGUGAGUAUCCUGAGGGUAACCUGGCCUCCUACAGGGGGAUAUCAGUUCUAGAUGACUGCAAAUGUCUCACAUGCGCAUCGCGCUCUCAUAAGGCAUAGUGAAAUACUCCAUUGGUGUGAGAUUGACCCACGUCAGAUUGGAUAGUUGGUGACGAAACGGCCCACCAAUGCAACGAUCCAGAACCUGCCACAGAGGCCGAACCGCCACAUUGGGCCUCAGACAACGACCAAACUCCAACAGGAGGCUUCAGUGGGUAAUAUUGCACAAUGGGGGAAACCCUCAUCCAGCAACGCCGCGUGAAGGAGGAGGUAUUUCGGUAUGUAAACUUCUAUCAGCAAGGAAGAUGAUGGCGGGUUCGCGUAAGAAGCCCCCGGUUAAUUCGGCCCCCACACCGCCGGAUAUAGUGGGGGGCCAGCGGUUUUCCGGUAUUUUGUGGGUGAAGGGAGAGUGGGGGGCCAUUUCAAUUGAGAGUGGGAAACCCGGGGCUUCACCCCGGGAGUGCCUUUGAAACCGUGUAGGCUUGGUGUCUCGAGGGGGCAGGGGAAUUUCUUGUGUUGCGGUGAAAAGGGUUGAUAUUUAGGAGGACCCCCGUGGGGAAGGGGGGUUUCUUGGCCGUCAAUGACGCUUAGGGUCGAAAACCUGGGGGGCCAACAAGGUUUGAUACCCCUGUAGUUCCCCCCGUAAACGCCCCAAAAUGGGUGUCGGGGCCCAGAAGCCUUUCGUUGCCGCACCUAAAGCAAUAAGUAUCCCACUGGGGGAGUACGUUGCCAAGAUAGAAAUUCAAAGGAAUUACCGGGGACCGCCCCAACCGUUGGUGCAUGUGGUUUAUUUGGAAGCAACACGAAGACCUUUACCAGGUCUAGACAUCCUGGAGUCCGCGGAGCAGUGUCGUCUUUCAUACGCGACAUCGAGUAACAGGUGGUGCUUGUUUGUGGUCAGCUGUUGUCCUGAGAGUUUGGGUUAAGUCCGCCACCGAGCGCACCCCCUAUUCUUAUUACCCGGCAGUUCGGAUGGGCACUCUAGAGCGACUGCCGGGGACAACCUGGAGGAAGGUGGGGAUGACGUCAAAUCAUCAUGCCCCUUAUGCUCUGGGCUACACACGUGCUACAAUGGCCGUAACAAAGGGAAGCGAGCCCGCGAGGGGGAGCAAAUCCCGGAAAAGCCAUCUCAGUUCGGAUGGUAGUCUCCAACUCGCCUACAGGAAGCUGGAAUGGCUAGUAAUCGCGAAUCAGCAUGUCGCGGUGAAUACGUUCCCGGCUCUUGCACUCACCGCCCGUCA